rnacentral:rRNA from 1 species
CGCUGGCGGCGUGCCUAAUACAUGCAAGUCGAGCGAACCACUUCGGUGGUGAGCGGCGAACGGGUGAGUAACACGUAGGUGAUCUGCCCAUCAGACGGGGACAACGAUUGGAAACGAUCGCUAAUACCGGAUAGGACGAAAGUUUAAAGGUGCUUCUGGCACCGCUGAUGGAUGAGCCUGCGGCGCAUUAGCUAGUUGGUAGGGUAAAGGCCUACCAAGGCGACGAUGCGUAGCCGACCUGAGAGGGUGAACGGCCACACUGGGACUGAGACACGGCCCAGACUCCUACGGGAGGCAGCAGUAGGGAAUCUUCGGCAAUGGGCGAAAGCCUGACCGAGCAACGCCGCGUGAAUGAUGAAGGCCUUCGGGUUGUAAAAUUCUGUUAUAAGGGAAGAACGACUUUAGUAGGAAAUGGCUAGAGUGUGACGGUACCUUAUGAGAAAGCCACGGCUAACUACGUGCCAGCAGCCGCGGUAAUACGUAGGUGGCGAGCGUUAUCCGGAAUUAUUGGGCGUAAAGAGCGCGCAGGUGGUUGAUUAAGUCUGAUGUGAAAGCCCACGGCUUAACCGUGGAGGGUCAUUGGAAACUGGUCGACCUGAGUGCAGAAGAGGGAAGUGGAAUUCCAUGUGUAGCGGUGAAAUGCGUAGAGAUAUGGAGGAACACCAGUGGCGAAGGCGGCUUCCUGGUCUGUAACUGACACUGAGGCGCGAAAGCGUGGGGAGCAAACAGGAUUAGAUACCCUGGUAGUCC